CCUACGGGAGGCAGCAGUGAGGAAUAUUGGUCAAUGGACGAGAGUCUGAACCAGCCAAGUAGCGUGAAUGAUGACUGCCCUAUGGAUUGUAAACUUCUUUUAUAUGGGAAUAAAAUAUUCCACGUGUGGGAUAUUGUAUGUACCAUAAGAAUAAGGAUCGGCUAACUCCGUGCCAGCAGCCGCGGUAAUACGGAGGAUCCGAGCGUUAUCCGGAGUUCUUGGGUUUAAAUGGAGCGUAGGUGGGAUUGUAAGUCGGUUGUGAAAGUUUGGGGCUCAACCGUAAAACUGCAGUUGAAACUGGCAGUCUUGAGUACAGUAGAGGUAAGCGGAAUUCGUGGUGUAGCGGUGAAAUGCUUAGAUAUCACGAAGAACUCCGAUGGCGAAGGCAGUUCACUGGACUGCAACUGACGCUGAGGCUCGAAAGUGUGGGUAUCAAACAGGAUUAGAUACCCGGGUAGUC
rnacentral:rRNA from 1 species